UACAGAGGUCCCAAGCGUUGUUCGGAUUCAUUGGGCGUAAAGGGUGCGUAGGCGGCGCGGUAAGUCGGGUGUGAAAUUUCGGAGCUUAACUCCGAAACUGCAUUCGAUACUGCCGUGCUUGAGGACUGGAGAGGAGACUGGAAUUUACGGUGUAGCAGUGAAAUGCGUAGAGAUCGUAAGGAAGACCAGUGGCGAAGGCGGGUCUCUGGACAGUUCCUGACGCUGAGGCACGAAGGCCAGGGGAGCAAACGGG
rnacentral:rRNA from 1 species